rnacentral:rRNA from 1 species
AUUGAACGCUGGCGGCAGGCCUAACACAUGCAAGUCGAACGAGUGGCGGACGGGUGAGUAAUGUCUGGGAAACUGCCUGAUGGAGGGGGAUAACUACUGGAAACGGUAGCUAAUACCGCAUACCAUCAGAUGUUCCCAGAGGGGAUUAGCUUGUUGGUGGGGUAACGGCUCACCAAGGCGACGAUCACUAACUGGUCUGUAAGGAUGACCAGCAACACUGAAACUGAGACACGGUCCAGAUUCCUACGGGGGACAGCAUUGGGGAAUUUUGGACAAUGAACGCAGGCCGGAUGCAGACAAGCCGCGUGUAUGAAGAAGGCCUUCGAGUUGUAAAGUACUUUCAGCGGAGAGGCGUUACCCACAGAAGGAGCACCGGCUAACUCCGUGCCAGCAGCCACGGUAAUAC